UACCAGCACCCCGAGUGGUCGGGACGUUUUAUUGGGCCUAAAGCAUCCGUAGCCGGUUCUACAAGUCUUCCGUUAAAUCCACCUGCCUAACAGAUGGGCUGCGGAAGAUACUAUGGAGCUAGGAGGCGGGAGAGGCAAGCGGUACUCGAUGGGUAGGGGUAAAAUCCGUUGAUCCAUUGAAGACCACCAGUGGCGAAGGCGGCUUGCCAGAACGCGCUCGACGGUGAGGGAUGAAAGCUGGGGGGAGCAAACCGG
rnacentral:rRNA from 1 species